GUGCUCCCUUUGGCAGCACAUAUACGAAACUGGAACGACAGGGAGAUUAUCAUGGCCCCUGUGCAAGAAUGACAUGGAAAUUCGGGAAGUAUCCUGAGCCCCG